rnacentral:rRNA from 1 species
AUUGAACGCUGGCGGCAUGCCUUACACAUGCAAGUCGAACGGUAACAGGUCUUCGGAUGCUGACGAGUGGCGAACGGGUGAGUAAUACAUCGGAACGUGCCCGAGAGUGGGGGAUAACGAAGCGAAAGCUUUGCUAAUACCGCAUACGAUCUCAGGAUGAAAGCAGGGGACCGCAAGGCCUUGCGCUCACGGAGCGGCCGGUGGCAGAUUAGGUAGUUGGUGGGAUAAAAGCUUACCAAGCCGACGAUCUGUAGCUGGUCUGAGAGGACGACCAGCCAGACUGGGACUGAGACACGGCCCAGACUCCUACGGGAGGCAGCAGUGGGGAAUUUUGGACAAUGGGCGCAAGCCUGAUCCAGCCAUGCCGCGUGCAGGAUGAAGGCCUUCGGGUUGUAAACUGCUUUUGUACGGAACGAAAAGACUCUGGUUAAUACCUGGGGUCCAUGACGGUACCGUAAGAAUAAGCACCGGCUAACUACGUGCCAGCAGCCGCCGUAAAAC